AUCGCCUCGUCUCGCGCAUCCUCGCCGCCACGCUCCGCCUUGUCAGGAUCGAACUAUGCCACCUCCCCGGUGACACCGUCCAAUCGCUUCAUUUUCCCCAGCUCAAGCACCUCGCACUCGUCAAGGCCGUCAUCUCGGAGGGCGCACUGGGCAGCCUCAUUGCCGGGUGCCCCGCCCUGGAGUGCUUGCUGCUUGGGUACAUCUCCGGACUCCGUCGCGCCUGGAUCAGCUCCCCUCGGAUCAGAAGCAUCUAGUUGGUUGGAACUCCAUGGGCAUGCCCAACUUGGAUGAAGUCGUAAUCGAGAAUACCCCUUGUCUUGAAAGGCUGCUCCAUUUCAAUCUACGCGAUGACCUGCGAGUAUCGGUGAUCGACGCGCCUAAUCUGGAGACCUUCUGCAUCGUUCAGAACGAUCGUUUCAGCUUCGACAGGAUUGUCGAGCAUGUAGGUGCUGAUAGCCCGACGACGACGUCAAGAUCUUGGCUUUUAGAGUGCGCUUUUUUAGUUUGGAUAUGAUUGUCGACUUGACGAGACUCUUUCCCUGCCUGGAGAAGCUGUACAUACAGAAUGAGUAUAAUGCUCUUUUCCGGUCAAUGUCAAGGAAGAAAGGGCCGAAGAAUUACUGGCGUCGCAAACAUCGGAACCUUUAUAUCACAUUGCCUUGAUACUCAUCUGAAGACAAUAGUACUGGAAUCCUAUCGGGGGGUUCUGCCGGAAGUUAACUUCGCCGCAUUCUUCGUACUGAACGCGAGAGUGCUAGAGUUUCAGGUGAAAACCAUCGACGAGGAGUUCAUCGCGAAACAGCGGAGGUUGCUUCAGGUAGAGAACAGGGCAUCAAGGGGUGCUGAAUUUCACUUCACGGACGAUAGAUGUCUUCGGGAUAUUUGGGAUAUCCGCCACGCUCGUGAUUUGGAUGUGCGUUGAGCCGUCGAUGCCGCGACUGGAUUCAGUGUGCUGAAGAGGUGUCCAUGUCUUUCUCAUUUUGUGUUAUCGUGGACCUUU